CAGUAGCCGCGGGAAUACGUAGGGGGCAAGCGUUGUCCGGAAUCAUUGGGCGUAAAGCGCGUGUAGGCGGCUCGAUAAGUCUGCUGUGAAAGUCCAGGGCUCAACCCUGGAAUGCCGGUGGAAACUGUCGAGCUCGAGUCCGGAAGAGGCAAGUGGAAUUCCUGGUGUAGCGGUGAAAUGCGCAGAUAUCAGGAGGAACACCAAUGGCGAAGGCAGCUUGCUGGGACGGUACUGACGCUGAGACGCGAAAGCGUGGGGAGCAAACAGGAUUAGAUACCCCCGUAGUCCCUGUCUCCUUAUA
rnacentral:rRNA from 1 species